GACGAACGCUGGCGGCGUGCUUAACACAUGCAAGUCGAACGGAAAGGCCCUGCUUUUGUGGGGUGCUCGAGUGGCGAACGGGUGAGUAACACGUGAGUAACCUGCCCUUGACUUUGGGAUAACGUCAGGAAACUGGGGCUAAUACCGGAUAGGAGCUCCUGCUGCAUGGUGGGGGUUGGAUAGUUUCGGCGGUUGGGGAUGGACUCGCGGCUUAUCAGCUUGUUGGUGGGGUAGUGGCUUACCAAGGCUUUGACGGGUAGCCGGCCUGAGAGGGUGACCGGCCACAUUGGGACUGAGAUACGGCCCAGACUCCUACGGGAGGCAGCAGUGGGGAAUAUUGCACAAUGGGCGGAAGCCUGAUGCAGCAACGCCGCGUGCGGGAUGACGGCCUUCGGGUUGUAAACCGCUUUCGCCUGUGACGAAGCGUGAGUGACGGUAAUGGGUAAAGAAGCACCGGCUAACUACGUG
rnacentral:rRNA from 1 species